GUGCUCGCUUCAGCAGCACAGAUACUAAAAUUGGAAUGAUACAGAGAUUAGCAUGUCCCCUGUGCGAGGAUGACACACAAAUUUGUGAAGGUUGCAAUAAAAAU